GCUGGCUCCGUAGAUCCUGGACAAACACAGACGGACUGGUGGUGAAGAGCUCCAGGACAGCCUGCUGGCCCCUCCACCACGGAGAACUAGGCGCUUACAGAUGAGGACACUGUGGUUCUGAAAGGAGAACAAUUGUGCCCAGGGGCACACAGCUGGUAAGUGGCAGUGCCCUGCCUGGAAUCUGGGCCUGCCUCCAAGCUCACUGCAGCCAGAAUCAAUUUCCUAGAACCCUGCUGAAAGCCAUUUUACCAUGUCCUCAGGCCCCCAGCUGCCUGAAUCCUCUAACAAAACCCAGCUUCCACUGUGGGAAACAGUUAUCCCCAAAUCCCAGCAAAAUAUUGGCACAUUUGGGAAUAAUAUGGUCCCUGCUUCUGAGACUUUGCUUUUUGUCUAGGAAUGACCACUGACCUCCUGCUUUGCCCUGCUACUCUUGUUUCUCUUGUAGGGCUCAGGUGAAAGAUCUCCAGACCUUUGGGAUUCCUGCCAUGUCCGGAGCUUACCCCCUCAUAGCACCCAUCACUGUAAUAGUUGACUUGUUUGUGUUUUAA